rnacentral:ncRNA from 1 species
AGCAUCUAAGCGGGAAGCCGGCUUCGAGAUAAGAUUUCCAUCCCUUAGGGGGAGAGGCUCGCAGCUAGACUACUGCGUUGAUAGGCCGGAUGUGGAAGUGGGGACUAAAGACCCAUGAAGCUGACCGGUACUAAUAAGCCGAUAAUUUGAUAAC